GGGGCAUUCGGUCCCACAACGCCCGCGCGCGAGUAUGAUUUAAAGGCUUCGCCCCUCUCCUUGGUUGUUUCCUUCGCUUCUCUCGCCCUGUACCCAAAUCUCGGUCGCUGUAAGACUCUCGUCUUUUGCAGCUUCAUCUCGCUCGCCUCUUCGAUCCCUUCUCGCCGUAUCCGGCGUUCGAAUGCUUAGAUUCCUCUCUUCGCCAUCCUCCCACGGCCGCUCGAUCACGCCGCCGUAGCCCUCCGGCCCCCCGAAUACUCGUCUCCGGCGUCCGACAGGGCGAGGAGCCGCCUCGGGCUCGGGGAAGCGAGCCGGUGGCAGCGUUCUAGGGUUUCUUUUCCCGAUCUUUUCUCUCUGAGCCUGGGUUACUGGAGGACGGGUGGGGGUUAGGGUUUCUUGAUCGUUGCCAUGGCUCCGGGGCGCAGGAAAGGUGGGGCGCGCGGCAAGGCGAAUGACCAGUUGAAGCUGGGGGAUUUGGUUCUCGCGAAGGUCAAGGGAUUCCCGGCGUGGCCGGCAAAGUUUCUUUUCAGAUAAGCAAUCCUGAAGAUUGGGGGCAUUCGCCUGAUCCUAAGAAAUACUUCGUUCAGUUCUUUGGGACUUCUGAAAUGUAAGUGUGAUGCAUUCCCCAUAUUUUCUCUAUAACCUAUAUUUUUUACACUGGGUGAAUGUCCAAGUUACAUCCUGCAUUAUUAUUCCUUAUCCUGUUCUAUUGUAAUUUAGUUUAAUACAACUUGUGCUUUGAACAGUCAAACCAUUGCAUGUUUUCCCUUUCACACCUUUUCAAUUAAUUUGGUAAGUAAAUAUGGGGACCACCGAUUUAUGAUAUAGCUAGAAGAUAUUUCUAGAACUAUUUUAUAGUGUCAUGUUCAUAAAAGGCAAAACUCCUUUUCAAGUCCUUGUAGAGAAAAUUCAAGGGGAGAUUUUUCAUUGUUUUCAUACGAGGUUCAUUUGAAGAUUAAAUUAGGUAGGAUUGUGCAGAUAAAUGCUUUUGGAUGAAAUCCCUUUAGAAAGUGGAUCUUCUCUUUUUUAUUAUAUGGAGGUAAAUGGUAUUUUUUUCAUAAAUGAUUCUCUGUGUCAUUAAUUAUUAGUAUUGUCAUACAACAUUGUCAGCAUAUUCAGAUAGGACUAUGUACUCCAUGUUAGCUCCUUUUCAAUAUAGUCAGUUGAGGGUGACAUCAGAAAUUUUUGGGACUUGAUUUGAAGUUUCAGAGGAUGAUGAACUUUGUGUCUAAAUCUUAGCUAUGUCAUAUUUCUCCCAUUGAUGUUGAGAUUAUCAAUGAUAAUUCAUGUAAAUAAUAAAUAGCUUGUAGGCAUUGUCAUAGUGGCAAUUAGGUUGGAAAUAAUUGAGGAAACUCCUCCAUAAUCUCUGUGAUUGACCUGAAAUAAUUGUUGAGUGCAGUUUUAGGUGUUUGGGCUUCCAUCCGAGCAGAAGACAAACCUUAGAAUGCUUAAAGUGGCUCCCACUUGAUUGUGAUGAUGUUGGUAGGGCUGCAAUUUAGCUUGCCAGGCAGGAGAUUAAGCUGUUUGGUCUUGGCUGAGGUAUAUCUAGUCUCAGUUCAAGCUAGAGUCAAGUUCAAAGACGUAAGUUCAACCUUGGUUUGAGAGAGUGCUGGCAGAUUCAGCUUAGCUUGCAAUUGGCUUAUUUGUUCUACUAGCCGAGUUCAUGUUCAAGCUUGAAUUUGGGCUAGAGUGCAACCUUGAUCUUAAGAAUAUCUCAUCUAAAAAUUUGGUAAAAUGAGUUUAAAUCAGGGAGAAGAACCCAAAAAUCAAUAAGAACAAGAAUUGACUAUCUCUUACCCAAGUACUUUAUAUAAUUGAAUGUUGGCAUAUAAUUUCAUAGUAACUGUAAUUGAAGAUAGUUCUAUUUCAAUAUUGUAUUUUGCUUGUUUCAUAUAAAGGAAAGCUACUGGGAUCAUAUUAACGGGGAAUAAUAUGGAGACCAUUGUUUGUGGAGUUUUUUUCUUUUUUAAAAAUAAAAUAAAAUUAGGGGUGUGGGUCUUGGUGCUUUGGUGGUUUCAUGGAAUCCACAACUCACUUGAUGCAAAGCACGGCCCUUUUUCUCUAUGAGAAGUGGAUGUUUCCACUACUUACAUGUGACCAAGGUGUGUGCACAAAUGUCACACAUCUGAUGCAUGGUUGACCAUAUAGUUUCCUGAACAGGAGGUCGAUGUGUCCUCUGAAUGCAUGAGACAUGCAUGUUUCAUGUUGGAAUUAAGAGGACCGACUGGUUCUUGGCUUGCAUUUGUAUCAUGCAUUUGAUGCAUGGUUUUUUUCAAGUGUCAUCGGUUUAGUGAAAACAAAAGUUUGUGAAACAAAACAUCAAUGCAUAGGUAAGCCUUUGGAAAAGAGUGAGGGAAGCUGGAAACGUGUGGGCUACAAGAAGUCCACAAGUGGUUUUUAGGUUUUCUUUACAAUUUUAAUGAUGGUAUUUUUGGAUGCGGUAGAUCAAAUAUCCAUAAUUUUUUAAUUCUAUUGUGUUUGGAUACCAAAGGAGGGUCUUCUACUUACAAAAGAUGAUAAAAAAAGUCGAGGAUUUGAGUUUAAGGCCAAAGUGGAGGAGAUAUUGGAUGCAAUCAACAUGCUUUAGAUUUAGGGAUAGAGGGGUUGUUUGGGCUAUGAGACUGAGGGCGGGAGAUGCAUGUUUCUAGGCACCAAGUAGUGUAACAAGGUGCUAGGCAGUGGGAUGGACUGAUAGGUGGGGUUCUAGGGCAAUUGGAUUAGAAAAGGGAAAGAGUGAUGCAGUUUAGCCUUAACUUUCGAAUUAAUCUUUGCUUAGGUGAUAAUUUAUAGUAUUGAAGGUGACGACGACGACCAUACUAUGUGUUUCUAUUGUUUCUAGACACCCGUGUUAUAGUUCAAUCUCUCUCUCUCUCUUCACAUUCUCUUUUUCACGAUUCUUUAUAUUGACCAUAACACAUUUAUGAAUCUAACUAUACUAUCUUUUAGCCUCAUCUCCACCUUUCCCCUUUUCUCCCAUAUCAUUCAUCUCCCUUGUGGUUUUGUAAUAAGGUGAAGUUGUUAUAUCAAGAAUGAUGUCAAUAUGCAACUUUGUAAUCAUGUUUUAGUGCCUCAAAGACAAAAUGGAGUAGUUUAGAGUUGAUUUAGUUUAGAAUUAUUGUGUAUCCAAUUAAUAUAUUUGUUGUUGUGUCUUUUUCCAUUCUAAAUUUUCUCAAGAAUAUCUUUUCAAGUUUUGAAAAUCUUGUCCUUGACUAAAUUUGUCGUUGUAUCUUAGUCUUAUUGAAAGCCAAAUCAUCAUGUAAUUUUGGGUAAGCUGCUGUAUAUGCAAUUUUGCACAUUUAAAAUAAGCCCAAGUAGAUAAUGAUACUAUACAAAGUAAUUAAUGAGACAUUUCAUAUUGUGGGACCAAUGCCCUUCUUCAUUGUUAGAGACUCUUGAUCUCUACCCACUUCUUACACUUAUCAUAUGAAUCAAUAUCUCAAUAUGCAUAUAGAGUGGAGCAAGUAGUUCUAACUCUCCUUUCACGAGAUUGAUGAACUUGACCAGCAUUAUAAAGUGGACCUGACCAAAAAAAAUAUUGAGAGGUUCAUUACAUGUUUAAAUGGUAUUCUGAGGACCUUGCCAUUGAUACUGGUAGAAAUUGAAAAAAGAAAAUAAGAGAUAAUCUAGUUUCAUGGAAGUUGGUAAUGAAGGGAGGAACAGAUUAACAUAAUCUGCAGCAGUUGCUAUGGAGAAUUCAUAUCUUAGUCCAAGUCAAUAAGUCAAAGUACAGUUAAACGGUUUUUUUGUUAGGUAUCCUAUAGUUCGUGUUUGAGUCAUAAAAUGUUGAGGAGAUUCAUGGUUUAAUUUUGGAUUUUCUAGAUUUCAUUAGUUAUGGUUCAUGUGUUGUGUCUAUAAGAGUUUAUGAGGUAUUCAUUGCAUGUCUCUUAUUAGACACUAUGGAUGUAGUGCAGAAGGAAAUAUCAAUGAAAAGUUGGCAUGAAUUUGAGUCAAUAUUUGCUUGAAUUUAGUGGUAAUUCCACUCUUUGUUAUCCUUGGAGAAAGAUCAAUAAGGAUUUGGAACUAAAUUUGUCUUUAUUUCUUCAAAAUUUAGUGGCUCCACAGUUUGACUUAAUAUUAUCAUUCUUUUAGUUUCUUCUUCUCUAGAUAAAAUUUACUUUCUUUGGUGCAUGGAUUACCUAGACACUUGUAAUGGGUGCCAAGUGUCCAAGUUUCAAUCACAGGCAUGGGACACAAUGUGUGUGCGUGUGUGGCGUGUGUUUGUAUCUUUUGAUGCUUAUUCAGGAAAGUGAAAAAGAAACCUAGAGUUAUAGAUGCUAUUUAGCAAAUAAAUGAAUUAAAUAGCCAUGAGUUUGCAAGUUGUUGAAUUUAUUUGCUAGUUGUAAGAUGCGUUGAGAUACUUAGAUUGAUAACAUAAUCUGCAGCAGCUGCUAUGGAGAAUUCAUAUCUUAGUCCAAAUCAAGUGUCUAGGUAAUCCUAUAGUACAGUUAAACAGUUUUUUUGUUAGGUAUCCUAUAGUUCGUGUUUGAGUCAUAAAAUGUUGAGGAGAUUCAUGGUUUAAUUUUGUAUUUUCUAGAUUUCAUUAGUUAUAGUUCAUGUGUUGUGUCUAUAAGAGUUUAUGAGGUAUUCAUUGCAUGUCUCUUAUUAGACACUAUGGAUGUAGUGCAGAAGGAAAUAUCGAUGAAAAGUUGGCAUGAAUUUGAGUCAAUAUUUGCUUGAAUUUAGUGGUAAUUCCACUCUUUGUUAUCCUUGGAGAAAGAUCAAUAAAGAUUCGGAACUAAAUUUGUCUUUAUUUCUUCAAAAUUUAGUGGCUCCACGCUUUGACUUAAUAUUAUCAUUCUUCUAGUUUCUUCUUCUCUAGAUAAAAUUUACUUUCUUUGGUGCAUGGAUUACCUAGACACUUGUAAUGGGUGCCAAGUGUCCAAGUUUCAAUCACAGGCAUGGGACACAAUGUGUGUGCGUGUGUGGUGUGUGUUUGUAUCUUUUGAUGCUUAUUCAGGAAAGCGAAAAAGAAACCUAGAGUUAUAGAUACUAUUUAGCAAAUAAAUGAAUUAAAUAGCCAUGAGUUUGCAAGGUGUUGAAUUUAUUUGCUAGUUGUAAGAUGUGUUGAGAUACUUAGAUUGAUAACUAAUUGUGAUAUAUUUAUAUUUAAAAUACAAUGAUAUUGCUUAAACUAUAUAUAUAAUCUUAAAUAAAUAUUGCUUGAAGUGACCCAAAAAAAAACAAAAAAAAAAACUUAAGGACACUUAACUGAAAGUUCCAACAUUUAGAACUAUGAGUUCUUUGCAUGGCACUCCAGAAAAAAAGUGCCAAGUGCAGACACUUUUUGGCUACCAUUAGCAGGACACUUACAAGUGGAGUGUGCAGUUCUGUGUGUCGUGUCCAAGCAUCUAAAAGUGUUGACACUUCCAGACAACUCAAAAAUGAAGCGUCCUGGUAGCAUACACAUGAAAGGCAGAGCCCCGGCCAAUCUACCAUCAGUAAACUUCAUGGAAGGUGCUCUUUAACACAGACUUAUGUAAGUGCGUGCAUAUACAUAUGUGUGUUGUAUGCACACACACAGAGAGAGAAAGUGAAAACUUCAAUAGCAUUUGGCAAUGAACUAUUUAUCGUGAUUGGUAUGCAUGAUUGUUGAGAGCGUUAUGACCUAAACUCGUGGCAAGGUCAAGUUAACGUCUGCAAGAGUUUAUAGGAAAUGUUGAAUUUCUCAUCACAAGGUUAGCAGUUUAUUACAAGGGAAAUGGUGGCAUGUUAUCAUUGGUACUGAGCAAUAGUUUUAUUAUUCCAUAUUUCAUGCAAGUUUACUUUCAGAAGUUGCAAGGCCUCAAUUUGGAAGCAAGAUAGUAUGAAUCGAUGCAAAUGAUUAUCACGAGGGACAAGCAAAGCCAAUACUCAUACUUAUCAGAAGUGGUUAGUUGCAGAUUUUACCCUUUAUGGUGUAUAGGAUAACUCUUUGAAUGCCUUUGGUUAUUUGUAAUCUCUAUGCUCAUUUCCUUGGUAGUAAGUUUUUAAUAUCUUUGAAAUUGUCCUGUCACUUCCAUUCAUAUUCUUUUUGGCUUUUUGCUCCACUUUUUCCCACUUAAAGCCAAAACUGAGCCCUUUUAGCAACUUUUAGUAAAUAAAUUUGUGUUCAUUGAGCUGUUUGUGC